CCACCUCCUUCAGUUACCUGGUGGAGAGGGUCUACAUUACUAGAUGACAGCUACAAACCAACAGUUAAAGGUGUCGUCAGGAACGAACUGACUCUUAAGAAUUUACAAAGAUCUUUCCUUAUGGAAGUUUUCUCUUGUCAAGCAUCCAACACAAACUUAACGGUUCCAAAGACUAGUUCUGUCAUCCUAGAUCUUAACUUGAAGCCACUCGAAGUGUACAUCAUCGAAUCGAAUCGACCAGUAUCAGCUGGACAGGAAGUAAAAUUAGUUUGUGAAAGUACCGGUUCGAGGCCUCCCGCACAUUUAUCGUGGUGGAAGGACGGCAAGAAGCUAGAAUCGUACAAGGAGAGCGUGUCAGAUGAUGGAAACAUCACCACCAGUUUGCUAACAUUCACACCUUCUGUUGACGACAACGGGAAAUCUUUGUCUUGCAGAGCAGACCAUCCGACGUUGCCAAAUAGUGGAAUUGCUGAUAGAUGGUUACUCAAUGUACACUAUGCGCCCAUAUUGAAUUUAGCACUUGGAGCAAAUAUAUUGAGAUCGAAAAUUAAAGAAGGUAGCGACGUUUACUUCGAGUGCAACAUUAAAGCAAAUCCUAGAGUAACAGAAUUGGGAUGGAUUUUCGAUGGUGAAGAAGGAUCAUCGCGGUCAUUAUAGAUGCAUCGCAUCCAAUUCGGAAGGUGAAGGAAAGAGUAAAGAUGUACAACUUGAAGUUCAGUAUAUACAUUGAUAGACACAGUUACAGGAGGGCAUGCACGAAAGAAAGAAGAAAUUUGCUGUAAAUGGUUGACAGUUUUGAUUUAUGUGCAACUUUACCUUGAUCAAUUUUAUGAAACUGAAGUUUACUGUGUCAUAAAUUCGGGUCAGGCGACAGUAUAAUAUACCGGACACUUCUUAUAGGCCUCUAAGGUAUCCUCGCCUAUUUGAUGAAUGGGUCAUUUUCAAACAUGGCAAACAGACAGUUUCUAUAGUUUUUAUAACAAAAACUAUGACUAUUUUUUCUAUAACAGCAAAAAAUAUUCAGCGAACUCUAUAUUU
rnacentral:misc_RNA from 1 species